rnacentral:rRNA from 1 species
UACGGGGGGAGCAAGCGUUGUUCGGAUUUACUGGGCGUAAAGGGCGGGUAGGCGGCCACCGCAAGUCGACUGUGAAAUCUCCGGGCUUAACCUGGGAACUGCAUUUGUGACUGCAUGGCUAGAGUGCGGCAGAGGGGGAUGGAAUUCCGCGUGUAGCAGUGAAAUGCGUAGAUAUGCGGAGGAACACCGAUGGCGAAGGCAAUCCCCUGGGCCUGCACUGACGCUCAUGCACGAAAGCGUGGGGAGCAAACAGG